AAGAGGAAGAAAAGGAAGAGAAGUAAAAGGAAAAGCCAGAGGAGGAGAAAGAAAAAUAGAAGAAGGCGCGAGAGAAGGAGAUGAGGAGGAGAAGGAGGAAAGCGCUAUAGAAGAAAGAAGAGCACCUCCCGCCUCGCGCCUUCCUUCCUCCCGUCUCCCGGAGUGUACACACCUGCACUCUUGAGGCUGCUGGCGAGAAGAACUGUGUCCCAAGCCCUCCACCAUGGCCGCCGCUCCGAAAGUUUGCGUCCGUCGCGCGAAGCUCAUCUUCCUGAUGGAGAACGCAGGCAAGGACGUCUUGACCUUCGUGUUGAAGCGCGGCGCGCUGAACGCCCCCGCCACGCCGCCAGGCCAGUCCCUCAUUGACUACCUUGACAACCUCCCUCAAGGCUCGACAGCCAACUAUGGCAGGAUGAGUAACAAACAAAAGAAAGCAGCACUGAACCACAGUUCAGUGCUGCUUAUCCUCUGACGUGACUACUUUAUUCAUUAUUUUUU